rnacentral:rRNA from 1 species
UAAUUUAAAGGGGUUAUUAAGGAACAAAAAAGCAAAUUUAUAAAAAAGGAGGUAAAUACCAAAAGCUUUAAAUCUGAAUUUUAGUAGGAAAAGGAUCUAUUUUAACAAAAUUUUACUUUAUAUAAAGUAAUAUUAGUAUAAAAUAUUAUAUAAAAAAGCGAUCCUAAGGUAAACCUUAAUUAAAAAAAACUUCCUGAAGUAAAACAUUUUAUGUAAGGAAAGGAAAGGAAAUCAACCGAGACUCCGAAAGUAAUGGCGAGUGAAAUCGGAUUAGCCUAAUCUAUUUGUAACAAAAAAAUUUAAAUAUUAACUUGAAAUCUUAUUAAACCGAUAAAGACAAAAUAAUAGUUUAAGUAUUAAACAUUGUUCAAAGCCUAGCUAAGCAAUUAUUUAUAAAUAAAAAUAUAAAUAGCAAAGCAAGUCCUAGGAACAAUUAGUAAAUAUAUUAAUCAUGUUAUUUUGUACAAAAUAAGGUAUUCGAGUCCUGUAGAGUUAAUAACAAAUAAAUUGCCUAACUUCUCCUUUCUUUUUAUUUAUAUUUUUAUAAUAAUAAAAAUCCAAUUUUUAUUAUUAUAAAAAGCUGGAAGGGGGAAUAGUUAGAAUAAAGUACGAUGAGAGUUAACUUGUCGGAAUAUAGGGGAACCAUCCUCUAAGGCUAAGUAUUAUAAAUUUAGCAAUAGCGAAAAGUACUGUAAAGGAAAAUUUUGAAAAGCAAGUAGUAUACUAAAGAUAUCAUAAAUAAAAAAAAAGGUAGUGUUAUUUUAUAAUAUUAUCUUUUUUUUAUUAAUUUAACUUAUUACUUAUCUUUAUUUUUUUAACUAUCUCUUCUAGAACCCUCUUUUUUAUUUAUAUAUAAAAAAUAUAAAUAAAAACUCUUGCAUUUGUUUUCACCCUUUUACAAAGGUUGAAAACCAAAGAGCUAGAGGAGGAAACUAGAGCAGAGGUAGUUUAAAAAAACUAAAUAAGUAUAUAAAUUAUAAAAUAUGGUAUGGGUGAAAAGAUCGUGAAUUAGUAACUCUAUAAGCAGUCGAAGUUUCACAGCAAGUUAAUAGGAGUAGCAAGGUUCAAACCUUAGCGAAAGCGACUGGACUAUAAAAAUAGUGAUGGGUAAGUUACUUCUAUUAGACCCGAAGCCAGGUGAUCUUACCAAGACCAGAUUAUAAUGGAUCGAACGGUUGAAUGUUGCAUAAUUCUCCGAAGAGUUUUGGUAAGCGGUGAAAUGCCAAUCUGACCUGGUGCUAGCUGGUUUUCUACCGAAACAUAUUUAAGUAUGAUGUCUAUCUAUAGAUUUAUGAAGGUACAGCAAGGCGAUUCCCAACAAGUUUAAUUUAAAUAAUUAUUUAAAUUUUAUACGUUUAGGUUGCGGGGACCUCGAAAAUCUUACCUUUGGAAGCGAAUCUCGGAAUUACAUAAAUUGAUGGUAGAUAUUCAGACUGUUCAUGCUAAGUUGGACAGUCAAGACGGAAACAGCCGAGAACACUGAUCAAGGUCCCAAAUGAUUGUUAAGUGAAAUUAAGGACGUAGCAAUAUCGUAUACAGCUGUGAAGUGAGCCUGGCAGUCGCUACUUAUAAUGAUCGUACGUAACAACGCAUCAGCAGUAAUUUUACUUAAAAAAAAGUAAUAAAUGAUAGUAGCGCCGAAAAUUUAACGGGUCUUAAACAAUCAACCGAUAUCGUGUUGGUUAAAAAUAAUUUUUACAUAGGUUGCAUAGAAUUAUUUUUAAUCUAGGUAGUAGAACAUUCAGUAAAACUGUUUAUAAAAUAGUGUUUCAUUAUUUUGUAGGUUACUGAAGAGAGAAUGCUGACAUGAGUAACGUAAAAAAUUCCUAUAAUGGAAUUCGCCGAAUACGAAAGGGUUGCAAAUAUGAAAGGUUAAACCGUUUUGUUUUAAUGCGGCCUCUAAGGACUAUAGCCAAAGCUAUGGCUGAUGAGUAAUAAAUAGAAAGUCCAAUAUUUAAAAAAUGGACCAGGAAAAUAAUAUUUAAUUUUAUCCUCCCUUUGUUUAUAUUUUUAUAAAAAUAUAAAUAAAAAUCCUUCGGACUUCAGCUCCGUAGGAGGGGUAAAAACUACCGUACCCUAAACCGACACAGGUUCGUAGGUAGAGUAUACUAAGGCGUAGAGCUAAAAGUUGUUAAGGAACUCGGCAAGUACACCUCAUAAGUUUGACGACAAGAGGUACCUUAAGUAAUAUACCUUAAGGUGGCACAAAAUCGGAGGCCCCGACUGUUUACUAAAAACACAACACAGUGCAAUCAUUAAUAUGGUAGUAUACUGUGUGAAAUUUGCCCGAUGCCAUUAAUAUAAGAAAAGUUAUGGUUAUUAUUUACUGUGACUAAUCGAAAAUCUGGUUAAUAGCGGUCUUAACUAUGAGGAUCCUAAGGUAGCAAAAUCAGUUGGCCAUUAAAUGUGGUCCGGUAUCAAUAAUGUAACGAUGGUCUCACUGUCUCUACAACUUGCUCAGUGAAAUUGAAUUACGCGUGCAGAUGCGCGUUGCCUCCAGGGGGACGGGAAACUUAAAUUGAAAACCUGGAGUUAGUUUUAAAUAACUAAAAAAAUAGCGACUAGAUAAGUCUACAAUAGCAAUACGGUGUAAUUCCGUCUUAUAAUCCAUAAUUUGAGCUCUAAUAGAGUGCGUUGAAAGUAAUUUUAAAGCAUAAAGCCUAUGAAUAAAGAGCUAGAUACCUAGGGGCAAAAGGUUGGGUUUGUGUUUACCUGAUAAUUUAAAAUUUAAAAUCUCAGGGAUAGUUGACUAAUUGGCAGUUUGACUGGGGCGGUCGUCUUUAAUAGAGUAGCAAAGUACAUCCAAAUAUAUCAAACUACAAGUAAAAACAAACCUUUUCUCUCCUUCCUUUUUUUAUUUAUAUUUUUUAUCUCUUGCUUUUGCAUGUUUAUACCUUUUGGUAUAAACCAAAAGGCAAGAGCAAAAGAUAAAUAAAAAUAUAAAUUUUUAUAAUAAUAAAAAUCCAAUUUUUAUUAUUAUAAAAAGCUGGAGGAUAAAGUUUUAUAACAAAAAAGUUUAAUCUUUUUAAAACUAUUAUAAGUAUAUUUAUAUAAUCUAAUUAUGGUCAAAUUAAUUAUAUUUAUAUGGCUUUAUUUUAGCUUUAAUUAAGGUUUAAAUUUUUAAUUUUUUAUUUUUAAUAUAUAAUUUAUAAGGUAUAGCUAGAAAUUGAAUGGAGAUCAAUCAACCAGUGAAGGGUUGCGCAGGGCUCAAUGGCGAUAAGCAUGCUUAACUGAAAGACUCAAAAGUCGCACAGAUACGUAAGUAGGGCAUAGUGACCCCUCGCUAUAGUAUGGGAUAGACGGGGAUCAAUUAAUAAAAGUUACGCUAGGGAUAACAGGCUGAUCGCGGACGAGAGUACACAUUGUCUCCGCGGUUUGGCACCUCGAUGUCGACUCAUCCUAUCCUCCGGGGGAAGAAGCUUGGAAGGGUUCGGCUGUUCGCCGAUUAAAAGGGUACGUGAGUUGGGUUUUAAUACGACGUGAGUCAGUAUGGUCCCUAUCUUCUGGAGGGAUAAUUAGUAAAAGGGGGCAGACCUUCUAGUACGAAAGGAUCAAUAGGCUGUGUUUCUCUAGUGUACCAAUUGUUUGUAAUUAAUGUAAGGGACUCUUAGUAUCUUGAAGGCAAAAGUAAAGAAAACAAAGGAAAGUCCCUUUAACUUUUUUUUUAAAAAGUUCUACCUUUUUAAUAUAGGAUAUAGGAUAACAUUUUAUGAAUGCAUAGUUGGGUAGCCACAAACAUAAUAGAUAAGUGCUGAAUGUCUAUAAAGCAAGAAUCUAACCCC